rnacentral:lncRNA from 1 species
ACACUCAGAAUGAGAUGUAGCCACCUCUGAGAGAAAAAACAGUGAGUGCGUCAUUACCGGCCGUUUAAUUGUGUGCAGCAGGGCUACACAAACAAUCAAGAUAGGAAAGGAUUAGUCAGUCCACUGCAAAACUGCAGGUGGAGGUUUUUUUAACUGGUUUAUUUAUGUCCAGGUCCACAAAAUUUGGACAUUCCUUGGCUCAUCUUAAAAAUCUGAGACAAACACAGUUCUCUAGGGACAUUCUUUGCCCGGUAUUUAUUAUUUCAUUUUCUAGCAGAUCAAAACCCACUGCAACUUUGCAUUUGCUCCCAUUAGAAUCCUCCUGACUCCUCUCAGGAAACCAGAAGCGCACUUUGUAGCUGGUCAUAAAAGUCAACAAAUAAGAGAUGUUUUGAAAAACUUUGAUGUUUGAAGAAAUGGGUCUCAACAGAACCUUCUGGUUUUUUAAACAAACAUAAAUAUUUCAUGGAUGCCUCAAGGGAGCUGAAAAUCACUACUGUUCUCUGUGGGCUGAGUUCUGUAGUUGUGUUUUGUCUCCCACCAGGCAUUUAGCCCUCCAGUCUCUGAUGUUCUCCCUCACCACAACACAUGCAGUCCCGGCCAGCUCAUGAGAGCAGGCAGUGAGAGCACCGAAAUGACAGUUCCCACGAAGAAUCACAGCAGUGUUUCAGAGCAGAACAUUUCCUGAUUUUGAUUUUUCACCCCAAAGUUGACACUGCUCACAGGUGCCUUGUCCUGGUUCCCUUCAGGCCAAAUUCAAAGUCACUGUUUGAAUAUAACUAUGCACCAAAGUUGAGAGACUCAGUUAUCCCUGGGGACAGAAGGGAGAACAUGAUGUCCUGGUUGAGACUAGAGCCUGAUCCGUGGGACAGGGAAACCUGGAGGGACUCCAGACCAGUGAGCAGACAGAGAAGCGCUCUUGCACCUCGGUCACUAUCCAUUCGAGUGUCAGCAACUUUGGAUAAAGAGACAGCUGCUGCCUAAAACAAGCAGGUUUUCCAAAACUUCCUGAGCUGUACCACUCUUGCUGAUGUAGGAAACUAGUGCGACCAAACUCAGUGCAAGAUCUUACAGAAAAGGAAUAUGAUAUUUAUUUACAGAAUUUCCAAGUAAGUUGAUUUUGCCCACUCACACUCUCAUAGAUUUCAUUCACUCGCUCACUCACAAGCAAC